rnacentral:rRNA from 1 species
GGGUUGUGAGGUUAAGCGACUAAGCGUACACGGUGGAUGCCCUGGCAGUCAGAGGCGAUGAAGGACGUGCUAAUCUGCGAUAAGCGUCGGUAAGGUGAUAUGAACCGUUAUAACCGGCGAUUUCCGAAUGGGGAAACCCAGUGUGUUUCGACACACUAUCAUUAACUGAAUCCAUAGGUUAAUGAGGCGAACCGGGGGAACUGAAACAUCUAAGUACCCCGAGGAAAAGAAAUCAACCGAGAUUCCCCCAGUAGCGGCGAGCGAACGGGGAGCAGCCCAGAGCCUGAAUCAGUGUGUGUGUUAGUGGAAGCGUCUGGAAAGGCGCGCGAUACAGGGUGACAGCCCCGUACACAAAAAUGCACAUGCUGUGAGCUCGAUGAGUAGGGCGGGACACGUGGUAUCCUGUCUGAAUAUGGGGGGACCAUCCUCCAAGGCUAAAUACUCCUGACUGACCGAUAGUGAACCAGUACCGUGAGGGAAAGGCGAAAAGAACCCCGGCGAGGGGAGUGAAAAAGAACCUGAAACCGUGUACGUACAAGCAGUGGGAGCACGCUUAGGCGUGUGACUGCGUACCUUUUGUAUAAUGGGUCAGCGACUUAUAUUCUGUAGCAAGGUUAACCGAAUAGGGGAGCCGAAGGGAAACCGAGUCUUAACUGGGCGUUAAGUUGCAGGGUAUAGACCCGAAACCCGGUGAUCUAGCCAUGGGCAGGUUGAAGGUUGGGUAACACUAACUGGAGGACCGAACCGACUAAUGUUGAAAAAUUAGCGGAUGACUUGUGGCUGGGGGUGAAAGGCCAAUCAAACCGGGAGAUAGCUGGUUCUCCCCGAAAGCUAUUUAGGUAGCGCCUCGUGAAUUCAUCUCCGGGGGUAGAGCACUGUUUCGGCAAGGGGGUCAUCCCGACUUACCAACCCGAUGCAAACUGCGAAUACCGGAGAAUGUUAUCACGGGAGACACACGGCGGGUGCUAACGUCCGUCGUGAAGAGGGAAACAACCCAGACCGCCAGCUAAGGUCCCAAAGUCAUGGUUAAGUGGGAAACGAUGUGGGAAGGCCCAGACAGCCAGGAUGUUGGCUUAGAAGCAGCCAUCAUUUAAAGAAAGCGUAAUAGCUCACUGGUCGAGUCGGCCUGCGCGGAAGAUGUAACGGGGCUAAACCAUGCACCGAAGCUGCGGCAGCGACGCUGAUGCGUUGUUGGGUAGGGGAGCGUUCUGUAAGCCUGCGAAGGUGUGCUGUGAGGCAUGCUGGAGGUAUCAGAAGUGCGAAUGCUGACAUAAGUAACGAUAAAGCGGGUGAAAAGCCCGCUCGCCGGAAGACCAAGGGUUCCUGUCCAACGUUAAUCGGGGCAGGGUGAGUCGACCCCUAAGGCGAGGCCGAAAGGCGUAGUCGAUGGGAAACAGGUUAAUAUUCCUGUACUUGGUGUUACUGCGAAGGGGGGACGGAGAAGGCUAUGUUGGCCGGGCGACGGUUGUCCCGGUUUAAGCGUGUAGGCUGGUUUUCCAGGCAAAUCCGGAAAAUCAAGGCUGAGGCGUGAUGACGAGGCACUACGGUGCUGAAGCAACAAAUGCCCUGCUUCCAGGAAAAGCCUCUAAGCAUCAGGUAACAUCAAAUCGUACCCCAAACCGACACAGGUGGUCAGGUAGAGAAUACCAAGGCGCUUGAGAGAACUCGGGUGAAGGAACUAGGCAAAAUGGUGCCGUAACUUCGGGAGAAGGCACGCUGAUAUGUAGGUGAGGUCCCUCGCGGAUGGAGCUGAAAUCAGUCGAAGAUACCAGCUGGCUGCAACUGUUUAUUAAAAACACAGCACUGUGCAAACACGAAAGUGGACGUAUACGGUGUGACGCCUGCCCGGUGCCGGAAGGUUAAUUGAUGGGGUUAGCGCAAGCGAAGCUCUUGAUCGAAGCCCCGGUAAACGGCGGCCGUAACUAUAACGGUCCUAAGGUAGCGAAAUUCCUUGUCGGGUAAGUUCCGACCUGCACGAAUGGCGUAAUGAUGGCCAGGCUGUCUCCACCCGAGACUCAGUGAAAUUGAACUCGCUGUGAAGAUGCAGUGUACCCGCGGCAAGACGGAAAGACCCCGUGAACCUUUACUAUAGCUUGACACUGAACAUUGAGCCUUGAUGUGUAGGAUAGGUGGGAGGCUUUGAAGUGUGGACGCCAGUCUGCAUGGAGCCGACCUUGAAAUACCACCCUUUAAUGUUUGAUGUUCUAACGUUGACCCGUGAUCCGGGUUGCGGACAGUGUCUGGUGGGUAGUUUGACUGGGGCGGUCUCCUCCUAAAGAGUAACGGAGGAGCACGAAGGUUGGCUAAUCCUGGUCGGACAUCAGGAGGUUAGUGCAAUGGCAUAAGCCAGCUUGACUGCGAGCGUGACGGCGCGAGCAGGUGCGAAAGCAGGUCAUAGUGAUCCGGUGGUUCUGAAUGGAAGGGCCAUCGCUCAACGGAUAAAAGGUACUCCGGGGAUAACAGGCUGAUACCGCCCAAGAGUUCAUAUCGACGGCGGUGUUUGGCACCUCGAUGUCGGCUCAUCACAUCCUGGGGCUGAAGUAGGUCCCAAGGGUAUGGCUGUUCGCCAUUUAAAGUGGUACGCGAGCUGGGUUUAGAACGUCGUGAGACAGUUCGGUCCCUAUCUGCCGUGGGCGCUGGAGAACUGAGGGGGGCUGCUCCUAGUACGAGAGGACCGGAGUGGACGCAUCACUGGUGUUCGGGUUGUCAUGCCAAUGGCACUGCCCGGUAGCUAAAUGCGGAAGAGAUAAGUGCUGAAAGCAUCUAAGCACGAAACUUGCCCCGAGAUGAGUUCUCCCUGACCCUUUAAGGGUCCUGAAGGAACGUUGAAGACGACGACGUUGAUAGGCCGGGUGUGUAAGCGCAGCGAUGCGUUGAGCUAACCGGUACUAAUGAACCGUGAGGCUUAACCUUACAACGCCGAAGCUGUU